GUCCCAAGUUCCAUCCUCCUUUUAUUCAUCAUUGGCCACACAGCUUGAAAUGAAGUGCAGUUUAGAACCUACUCAUUAGGAAAGGCACUUUCCACAAUCUGUUCCCGAGGGUCGUGUCCUGAACUGCGAUUAGGAACCGGAGCAGCCUCUCAGUGCCUGCCCCCAGUGCCACUCUCCUCAAGACCACACUGCGAAAACCUCCCCAAACACUGCCACCAACUACGACAAUGUGGGGCAUUUCAUUCAAACCACCAACCUUGGGUGAUUUUUGUUUUGAGACCGAGUCUCUUAUUAAACCUGAACCUCUUCCAAAA